UACAUGGGGUGCAAACGUUGCUCGGAAUCAUUGGGCGUAAAGCGCGCGUAGGUGGUUGCUUAAGUCGGAUGUGAAAGCCCUCGGCUUAACUGAGGAAGUGCAUCCGAAACUGAGCAGCUAGAGUACGAAAGAGGGUCGCGGAAUUCCCGGUGUAGAGGUGAAAUUCGUAGAUAUCGGGAGGAACACCGGUGGCGAAGGCGGCGACCUGGGUCGAGACUGACGCUGAGGCGCGAAAGCGUGGGGAGCAAACAGG
rnacentral:rRNA from 1 species